rnacentral:rRNA from 1 species
UUAAGCGACUAAGCGUACACGGUGGAUGCCCUGGCAGUCAGAGGCGAUGAAGGACGUGCUAAUCUGCGAUAAGCGUCGGUAAGGUGAUAUGAACCGUUAUAACCGGCGAUUUCCGAAUGGGGAAACCCAGUGUGUUUCGACACACUAUCAUUAACUGAAUCCAUAGGUUAAUGAGGCGAACCGGGGGAACUGAAACAUCUAAGUACCCCGAGGAAAAGAAAUCAACCGAGAUUCCCCCAGUAGCGGCGAGCGAACGGGGAGGAGCCCAGAGCCUGAAUCAGUGUGUGUGUUAGUGGAAGCGUCUGGAAAGGCGCGCGAUACAGGGUGACAGCCCCGUACACAAAAAUGCACAUGCUGUGAGCUCGAUGAGUAGGGCGGGACACGUGGUAUCCUGUCUGAAUAUGGGGGGACCAUCCUCCAAGGCUAAAUACUCCUGACUGACCGAUAGUGAACCAGUACCGUGAGGGAAAGGCGAAAAGAACCCCGGCGAGGGGAGUGAAAAAGAACCUGAAACCGUGUACGUACAAGCAGUGGGAGCACGCUUAGGCGUGUGACUGCGUACCUUUUGUAUAAUGGGUCAGCGACUUAUAUUCUGUAGCAAGGUUAACCGAAUAGGGGAGCCGAAGGGAAACCGAGUCUUAACUGGGCGUUAAGUUGCAGGGUAUAGACCCGAAACCCGGUGAUCUAGCCAUGGGCAGGUUGAAGGUUGGGUAACACUAACUGGAGGACCGAACCGACUAAUGUUGAAAAAUUAGCGGAUGACUUGUGGCUGGGGGUGAAAGGCCAAUCAAACCGGGAGAUAGCUGGUUCUCCCCGAAAGCUAUUUAGGUAGCGCCUCGUGAAUUCAUCUCCGGGGGUAGAGCACUGUUUCGGCAAGGGGGUCAUCCCGACUUACCAACCCGAUGCAAACUGCGAAUACCGGAGAAUGUUAUCACGGGAGACACACGGCGGGUGCUAACGUCCGUCGUGAAGAGGGAAACAACCCAGACCGCCAGCUAAGGUCCCAAAGUCAUGGUUAAGUGGGAAACGAUGUGGGAAGGCCCAGACAGCCAGGAUGUUGGCUUAGAAGCAGCCAUCAUUUAAAGAAAGCGUAAUAGCUCACUGGUCGAGUCGGCCUGCGCGGAAGAUGUAACGGGGCUAAACCAUGCACCGAAGCUGCGGCAGCGACGCUGAUGCGUUGUUGGGUAGGGGAGCGUUCUGUAAGCCUGUGAAGGUGUGCUGUGAGGCAUGCUGGAGGUAUCAGAAGUGCGAAUGCUGACAUAAGUAACGAUAAAGCGGGUGAAAAGCCCGCUCGCCGGAAGACCAAGGGUUCCUGUCCAACGUUAAUCGGGGCAGGGUGAGUCGACCCCUAAGGCGAGGCCGAAAGGCGUAGUCGAUGGGAAACAGGUUAAUAUUCCUGUACUUGGUGUUACUGCGAAGGGGGGACGGAGAAGGCUAUGUUGGCCGGGCGACGGUUGUCCCGGUUUAAGCGUGUAGGCUGGUUUUCCAGGCAAAUCCGGAAAAUCAAGGCUGAGGCGUGAUGACGAGGCACUACGGUGCUGAAGCAACAAAUGCCCUGCUUCCAGGAAAAGCCUCUAAGCAUCAGGUAACAUCAAAUCGUACCCCAAACCGACACAGGUGGUCAGGUAGAGAAUACCAAGGCGCUUGAGAGAACUCGGGUGAAGGAACUAGGCAAAAUGGUGCCGUAACUUCGGGAGAAGGCACGCUGAUAUGUAGGUGAAGUCCCUUGCGGAUGGAGCUGAAAUCAGUCGAAGAUACCAGCUGGCUGCAACUGUUUAUUAAAAACACAGCACUGUGCAAACACGAAAGUGGACGUAUACGGUGUGACGCCUGCCCGGUGCCGGAAGGUUAAUUGAUGGGGUCAGCGCAAGCGAAGCUCUUGAUCGAAGCCCCGGUAAACGGCGGCCGUAACUAUAACGGUCCUAAGGUAGCGAAAUUCCUUGUCGGGUAAGUUCCGACCUGCACGAAUGGCGUAAUGAUGGCCAGGCUGUCUCCACCCGAGACUCAGUGAAAUUGAACUCGCUGUGAAGAUGCAGUGUACCCGCGGCAAGACGGAAAGACCCCGUGAACCUUUACUAUAGCUUGACACUGAACAUUGAGCCUUGAUGUGUAGGAUAGGUGGGAGGCUUUGAAGUGUGGACGCCAGUCUGCAUGGAGCCGACCUUGAAAUACCACCCUUUAAUGUUUGAUGUUCUAACGUUGACCCGUAAUCCGGGUUGCGGACAGUGUCUGGUGGGUAGUUUGACUGGGGCGGUCUCCUCCUAAAGAGUAACGGAGGAGCACGAAGGUUGGCUAAUCCUGGUCGGACAUCAGGAGGUUAGUGCAAUGGCAUAAGCCAGCUUGACUGCGAGCGUGACGGCGCGAGCAGGUGCGAAAGCAGGUCAUAGUGAUCCGGUGGUUCUGAAUGGAAGGGCCAUCGCUCAACGGAUAAAAGGUACUCCGGGGAUAACAGGCUGAUACCGCCCAAGAGUUCAUAUCGACGGCGGUGUUUGGCACCUCGAUGUCGGCUCAUCACAUCCUGGGGCUGAAGUAGGUCCCAAGGGUAUGGCUGUUCGCCAUUUAAAGUGGUACGCGAGCUGGGUUUAGAACGUCGUGAGACAGUUCGGUCCCUAUCUGCCGUGGGCGCUGGAGAACUGAGGGGGGCUGCUCCUAGUACGAGAGGACCGGAGUGGACGCAUCACUGGUGUUCGGGUUGUCAUGCCAAUGGCACUGCCCGGUAGCUAAAUGCGGAAGAGAUAAGUGCUGAAAGCAUCUAAGCACGAAACUUGCCCCGAGAUGAGUUCUCCCUGACUCCUUGAGAGUCCUGAAGGAACGUUGAAGACGACGACGUUGAUAGGCCGGGUGUGUAAGCGCAGCGAUGCGUUGAGCUAACCGGUACUAAUGAACCGUGAGGCUUAACCUU